rnacentral:rRNA from 1 species
CGUCUAUAUACGUAUAGCAUAUCAAUAAGCGGAGGAAAAGAAACUAACUAGGAUUCCCUCAGUAACGGCGAGUGAAGCGGGAAGAGCUCAAAUUUGAAAUCUUCAAGGUUUUACCUUGACGAAUUGUAGUUUAAAGAAGUGUUUUCUGUUGGAAUUUUGGUAAAAGUUCUUUGGAAUAGGACAUCAUAGAGGGUGAGAAUCCCGUAUUUGACCAUUAUUUCCAACUUUGUGAUACACUUUCAAAGAGUCGGAUUGUUUGGGAAUGCAGUCCAAAAUGGGUGGUAAAUUUCAUCUAAAGCUAAAUACUGGCGAGAGACCGAUAGCGAACAAGUACCGUGAGGGAAAGAUGAAAAGAACUUUGAAAAGAGAGUUAAACAGUACGUGAAAUUGUCAAAAGGGAAGCGUUUGACACCAGUGUUGUUUUCUCGAAAAUCAAUUAAAAAUGGCAGGAUUUUGUGUUGUAUUGACUUUAUCAGCUUUCUGCACUUUUUUCUUGUCUUUUUUAAUGCACUUUUCGUUUAACAAGUCAACAUCAAUUUCUUUUGUUGUAAAAGGGUCAUUGGAAGGUGGCUUUCUUUUCGGAGAAAGUGUUUAUAGCCUUUGACUUCUGCAAUCGGAGAGAUUGAGGUCUGCAGCGUAGAUCCUUCGGGGUUAGAUGCAUUUGUGCUAAGUUAUAGCCUUUCAUAGACAACUUGUUGACUAUGAUCAGUCAUGUAGCUUACUCGCUUAUGUUAUUUUACCUACGCUUAGGAUGUUGACGAUCAGCUGAGCGCG